rnacentral:rRNA from 1 species
AUUGAACGCUGGCGGCAUGCUUUACACAUGCAAGUCGAACGGCAGCGGGGAGGAGCUUGCUUCUCUGCCGGCGAGUGGCGAACGGGUGAGUAAUACAUCGGAACGUGUCGAGAAGAGGGGGAUAACCACCCGAAAGGGUGGCUAAUACCGCAUAAAUUCUGAGGAAGAAAGCUGGGGACCUGGGAAUAGGCCUAGCGCUUUUUGAGCGGCCGAUGUCGGAUUAGCUAGUUGGUGAGGUAAAGGCUCACCAAGGCGAAGAUCUGUAGCGGGUCUGAGAGGAGGAUCCGCCACACUGGGACUGAGACACGGCCCAGACUCCUACGGGAGGCAGCAGUGGGGAAUUUUGGACAAUGGGGGCAACCCUGAUCCAGCCAUGCCGCGUGUAUGAAGAAGGCCUUAGGGUUGUAAAGUACUUUUGUUAGGGAAGAAAAGUCAGCUGUGAAUAAUGGCUGAUACUGACGGUACCUAAAGAAUAAGCACCGGCUAACUACGUG